AGAAAAUGCAUGAAAUCCAUGUGGAUUGCUAGAUCAUGUCGUAUUAACUUCCAAGGACCCUAUAAAGAAAGGGUACCAAAUGAAAUUUCUCAUAUUUAGGUACAUCAUGAAGAUUUGAUCCAAGAAGUGCUAUAUGGUUGUAAGUACAAUUGAAAAUUUUGAUAUUCAAUAUGGUCUUGAUUUGAAAAAUAAAGGGAGAGUUUGUUUUUU
rnacentral:lncRNA from 1 species